GUGUGUGUGUGUGUGUGUGUGUGUAUAUAUAUAUGUGUGUGUGUGUGUAUAUAUAUAUAUAUACACACACACACACACACACACAC
rnacentral:miRNA from 1 species